GUGGAUUGAUAAAUAAAAUGUGAGGAGCUAACAUAUUUAAUUAUAAGUUUACUAAUAAAAAAUUGUCAUGGUGUAGCGGGAAAGAAUGGACUUUAUUAACUCCAUGGCCUCGUCAGAAAUUUACAAAUAGUAAAAUUGGGAAUAUAGAAUGAUAUUCAAAUCAAAGGAAAAAUCCUUAUUAGGUGAGGAAAAUAUUAAGGUGAAUAAAUUGAUGAUCU
rnacentral:lncRNA from 1 species